GUAUCAACAGGACAGCUGCGGGGCCCAGAAGGACUACGUCAUCCCAGUCUGAGCGACUUCAUUAAGAGCCCGUCCCACUUCCCCAGAGCCGGGAGACACCCUUCUCACCCCGACUGCGCCAUGGCCGUCAGGCUCCUCUGCUAUGUGGCCCUUUCCCUUCUGGGUGCGGGCCUCACAAAUGCCGAUGUUAACCAGACCCCAAGAUAUGCCGUCAUAGGGACAGGAAAGAAGAUCACUCUGGAAUGUAAUCAAACCAUGGACCAUGAGAGCAUGUACUGGUAUCGACAAGACCCCGGAAUGGAACCCCAGCUGAUCCAUUAUUCACACGGGGUUAACAUCACAGAGAAAGGAGAUCGCCCCUCCGAGUCCACUGUCUCCAGAAUAAGGAAGGAUCAGUUUCCCCUGACGCUGGAGGCCACCAGCCCCUCACAGACAUCUAGAUACUUCUGUGCCAGCAGUGAAUGCACAGCACUGCGCAGGCACUUACAGACAGCACAAAAAAGUUCAUCACAAAAGUGAGGAAGCCCCAACUUC